GACGAACGCUGGCGGCGUGCUUAACACAUGCAAGUCGAGCGGUAAGGCCCUUUCGGGGGUACACGAUCGGCGAACGGGUGAGUAACACGUGGGUGACCUGCCCUUAGCUCUGGGAUAAGCCUGGGAAACUGGGUCUAAUACCGGAUAUGACUCCAUAACGCAUGUUGUGGGGUGGAAAGCCUUGUGCGGCUAGGGAUGGGCCCGCGGCCUAUCAGCUUGUUGGUGGGGUGAUGGCCACCAAGGCGACGACGGGUAGCCGGCCUGAGAGGGCGACCGGCCACACUGGGACUGAGACACGGCCCAGACUCCCUACGGGAGGCAGCAGUGGGGAAUCUUGCGCAAU
rnacentral:rRNA from 1 species